UAGCCGGUGUGAGAGCACGACCGGCCACAAGGUCACUGAGACACGGGACCUACACCUACGGGUGGCAGCAACCGGGAAUCUUGCGCAAUGGGCGAAAGCCUGACGCAGCGACGCCGCGUGGAGGAUGAAGGCCUUCGGGUCGUAAACUCCUUUUAUAUAGGAACAUAAUGUGGGUACUGUAUGAAUAAGCACCGGCAAACUACGUGCCAGCAGCAGCGGUAAAACGUAGGGUGCAAGCGUUAUCCGGAUUUACUGGGCGUAAAGAGUAUCGUAGGCGGUAAGAAAAGUCAUUCGUUUAAUCCCGGGGCUUAACUCCGGAACGGCGAUUGAUACUUUUUUACUAGUGUAUAGUCGGGGAUGUUGGAAUGUCUAGUGGAGGAUUGGAAUCCGUUGAGAUUAGAUAGAACACCAAGGGCGAAGGCAGACAUCUAGGCUAUUACAGACGCUGAUGAACGAAAGCUAGGGUAGCAAAAGGGAUUAGAGACCCCUGUAGUCCUUGCUGUAAACGAUCCCUACUAGCUGGUCGGAUUUUUUAUCUGACUGGCGUAAGCUAACGCGUUAAGUAGGGCGCCUGGGGAGUACGGCCGCAAGGCUAAAACUCAAAGGAAUUGACGGGGAGGCGCACAACCAGUGGAGCAUGUGGUUUAAUUCGAUACGAAGCGUAGGACCUUACCUGGGUUUGACAUUCUACUGCAAGCUUUAGGAAACUUUAGCCGCCUUCGAGGGUGUAGAACAGCUAUUGCAUGGUUGUCGUCAGCUCGUGUCGUGAGGUGUCCGCUUAAGUGCGGCAACGAGCGCAACCCUCAUCCUGUGUUGAAUAAUCACGGGAGACUGCCUCAGUCAAACUGGGGAGGAAGGGGAGGAUGACGUCAAAUCAGCACGAUGCUUAUAUCCAGGGCAACACACAUCCUACAAUGGCCAAUACAAUGGGUUGCGAAACAGUAAUGUGGAGCUAAUCCCCUAAAAUUGGCCUCAGUUCAGAUUGAGGGCUGAAACUCGCCCUCAUGAAGUUGGAAUUGGUAGUAAUCGCGGGUCAGCAGACCGCGGUGAAUACGUUCUCGCCUCUUGUACACACUGCCCGUCAAGCGAGGAGAGUUGGGGGUGCCCGAAGUCGUUUUCUUAACCUUGCUUUGGUAAGGAAAGAGACGCCUAAGGCAAACUCAGCAAUCAGCACUAAGUCGUAACAAGGUAGCCGUUCUGGAAGGAGCGGCUG
rnacentral:rRNA from 1 species